rnacentral:lncRNA from 1 species
UGGCGUGGUGGGGCUGGCACCUCUUCUGUUAAUGCCUCCUGCUGGCCCUGGAAAACCCCAACCCUUCCUUGUAGUUUAUCUGCAGGGAGAGGCUGCUGUGCUCUUUGAAGUGCAGCCAGAAGGACAUGGCCGGUGUCCUCUUGGCUGAGGUCAGACGCACUGUGCACCUCCCAGUCAGUCAUGAACAAGGUGAUUAUGAGCUAAUAACUUCUAGUUCAGAGCCCCAGUGAGUCCUGACCGGGAAUAACCCCGAAGGUGGCCCAAGGAAAGCGUGGGCGCCGGGACAGCUCUGCUCUGCAGCAACAGGGAGGGAUUCGGUGUUGUGGCACAGUGCCUGCGCCUCUCUUGGCCUGCAGUCAUUAAUCAGGUGGCCAGGUAUGUCCCAGGCAGUGGAGGGUCACAGGGGCCUGCAUGGGGUGAGAAAGAAGACCAGUCCAGGAACAAGGUGGCCCGCACUCAAGGUCCCCUGAGACUUUGUGACAAAGGGGGCCACAGCUCUGAGGCUGCAGAAGGGGCUUGUUGGUUAGUAUGGGGUCCAGGCCCCUGUCCAGGCCACGAAUCAGCCCAUUCUGUCCUCGCUCGGGCACAAUUACUUCCUUCCCCUGCUAAUGUUAUCUGUAUUUUAGACACAGCCUCGAUUGCUGAAGGCGCAAAGUCAUGGCCCCUCCAAGGUCAUUCAAGGCUCUGGAAAGUGAGUCAACUGAUAGCGUGCAGCAGCUCAUGGCUUAUUAGGCAGCAACACUGUGCACACCCCAGAGCUUCCAUUUUCCAACCCAGCCAGUGGGAAGUGUGUUCUCGAAGCCACAAAGAACCCACGCAGAGAGCGCCGCAGAGCAGAAGGAAACCAGCGGGUAGCAGAGAUAACUGCGUCCAGAGAGGGAGUGGGAUCUGCCCAGAGCUGCCCAGCAGACCAGCAGAACCCAGUUUGAGAAUGUCAUGUUUUGAUCAUCCCCUCUGCGGGCCCCCACACAACACACGCCCACUGGCCUUAGGUGUCCCAGGAGGGGCCCUGGAUGUGGCUGCUGCUUUACCUCGAAUGUAGAGACGCUCAGUAGGUAAGCUGCUCACCGCUUUGCUGAGCACUCCCCGGAAGCAAGAAAAUUGGAAAGAGACAGCUGGAAUGGAGUCUUAACUAUUUUAAUAAUGUUCGGGACCAUGGCUGUUGCCAGGAGAUUAGCAGGGAAAUCUAACGGUGUGUAAUUUUCCCUAAGAAUUCCAUUAACAAAAUCAAAUGGGCAGGCAGAGGUGGGGAGGAUGGCGAGCUAUCUGGAGGUUUGUGUGGGAGGGGUUUCUAAGCGCCAGCUCUCAGCAAACCGCUGCGAUGGGAAGUCCAGGCUCCUUGACGCCUUCUCUUUCCCAGCCCUGAGGGGAGGCAAGGCAGUAAAGACAGCAUGGGGACUGAGUUCGAAUCUCCAGCCAUUCCCUUCCUCACCAUGUGGUUUUCUGCAAGCCUCAGCAGGUGUCAGUUCCUUGCCUGGAAUGAGGGAUGACCACGACCACCCAGGACUGCCCUGAGGGUCAGAUGUGAUGGGCUAUAGUGGCCCACACAGUACUUGGGCAGAGUGGCCCUACAGAAAUCACCAGUCACUGGUCACCUCUUCAGAUGUCCACUCCUAGGCCCGCCCAGGCUCAGACCAUUCUCUCCUCUUUCCUCAGUUUCUACAACUGCAGCAACCCCUCUGCAUGGUGGGCCAGAGCCAGGUGCCAAGGACAAUGCCAGAGAAAGGAAGACAUGACACAGUCCUUACCCUCCAGGUCCUUGGAGGUGGGAGGCCCAACUCGGACAUUCACUUUUUUUCAGCCCAGCUACAGAUUUAAGAUGCUAGAGACAGAGUGUGAUCUUGACCACUAACACAUGGUCCUAUGUCAAAAACCCUGGGAGGAAGGGGUUGGUGUGCCCAUUUUACACAUGGGGAAACUGAGGCUCAGAGAGUGUUAUGAUUUAUAUCGAGAAGUCCCCCAAGCCUCAUGUGUCAUAGGCAGGGCUUUUGAAAGGUGACUGGAUCAUGAGAGUUUCUAGCUGACUUGCUUUCAGGAGGCAGAGCCUGGUCAGAAGAGGUGGGGCACAGGCAGUGUGACCAGGAAAGGCCUAACUCCCUCCCAGCUCCUCCCCUGAAACGCCCUGCUUUCUGGGCCCCAUGCCCUUAGCAGCUCUCCUCCACUAUGCCCAUGGCCACACCAUCUUGCGUUAAGCCAGCCAAAUGUAGACUGAAGCUCCAGCCAAUAGGCCUUUCCUUCCUUAUAUUGUGGAUGUUGGGUAUUUUGUCCCAGCAGCAUGGGAAGUGAUUAAGACAGAGAUUGCUAUUUGCCUGAGGUCACACUGCUAGUCAGUAGCAGAGUUUAAAACAGAGCCCAGGAUUUGAAACUCCAAACUCUUUCCCCAAUACCCCUUACUUGUGUCUGUCUCCUCCCUGCAGUUGCGCUAAUUUUCUUCCAAUUUUGUAUUUGGUUUGGUCGUGCACCAUCAGUUAGACAGGAAGUUCCUUGAAGGUAGAUGCUCCUUGUGCCUUCUCUCUGCCUUCCAUGGACACAGAGCACAUAGUAGGUGCUCCAGUGACCUUCUAGGACCAAGUGGACAGAGACCCUUAGUGACACAGUCUCCUCAAUACAGCCUUAAGAUUCUUAGACUUGUCCCUGUCCCUCAUCCUCUAGUCCACACACACACACACACACACACACACACACACUCCCUGCAAAAUCUAAUAACAACCAGUUUAAAAACACACUAAAAACAGAAAAUUUAUGUAGCAUGACCCAAAUUGAAUUAUACAUUACAGCACUAUAAUUGAUUUUUUAGAAGAGAGAUUAAAUUUAUUUUAUGCCUCACUAACUAACAGCUAGAUUUACCUAAUUGCUUGGAGUGCGGAGUUAGUAUGAUUCAUUAAACUCCAUACAUGCUUGGGUACGCUGCACACUGAGUAAAGCUUCCUGCUCGCAGCAAUUAACGAGGAGAAACCAGGCCGCUCCAGUAAUUGCUGAGAACAAUGCUGCCCCAAGUUUGCUUCGAGUGUUUUAUUCAGUUCUCCGUGCAAAAUGCAGAUAUGGUGCCUUCUGGUAAAGCUGCUCUGACAAACUGGAGGCAACUAAUACUCUUUCUCUCCCUAAUUCUGCUACGGUGGAAAGUGGAAGACAGAGAGAAAAGGGGAAGAGGAAAAAUGGAGGUCUUAUCUUGGUUUAAUUACAUCAAUCAUAACAGUUCUUUUAAAAAUCUCACCAUCAUCUGACAGCAAGCAGGCAAAGUCAGCCAGGCUAACAAAGAGUGAGUUUGGGUAGAUCAGGGAGUGCUCGGUAAUUAUAUACACAUUAUCAAAAAGGUAGCAAUUUAGGAGAACUGGAAAAAAAUAUGCUAAUUUUGAUAGCAAGAGAAAAUUAUAACUCUCUGAGCCAUUUAUUUAUUAAUUAUUAGUAGUAAUAAAGAACAUUUCCAAGUGGCAUCCAUUCACAUAAUAAGUGUGAUUCCCGUCCUCGGUGCACAUGCCUGUCUGAACGUGUCUACAAGUUCUACAUUCUGAUUUUUCACACAGACUCUCAGGACCAGGGAGAUGAAUGUUUUGACUGGUCCAUCUAUGAAGUGAGGUAUACAUUUCUCCAUCCCUAUCAUCCUUUCCAUUCCAGGCUUUUGCAGUUAUGGAAACGGAACAAAAUGCAUUUGUAUCCCCUCCCCAAAUCUCUAGGGUGCCUGUGCCCUGUAUUUUGGGGUUGGAGCAAUUCGCUUUGCUCUUAGAGAGGCAUUUAAGAAUAUAAAAGUGUCAACCAUGGCUUUCAUCUUCUAGGAGUGGACAAUAGACUCGGGGAGGCAAGAUAAACUGCACAUCAAUUAUGAUACCCACUUUCCUGUCCAUGCGGAGCUCCCAGAGUAUGGACCUGGACAUCUCACAGCCUGCCAAAGCUGACUGGGCUAAGGAUGGACAUGUGACCCCACAGACCAAUCACAGUCUUUCUUCUGGGAAUCUGGAAUUGAAAUGACAACCACAGAGAUCAGUGGUUAUUUGGAGUUGAGGCACAUGGAGGUGGACACUGCAGGGUGAUGUUCUACCAACUCCUUCUUCUGAGGUCUCCAGAGCUACUUAGGCCUGGAGGUUCUGCUCCUCCAUUAAUUCUGUAGAUGCCCCAGGAUCUUUCCCUCAAAUCUUCCUUUUGGCUCGAGUCACCUAGAGUCAGUUUCUGUUACUUGUACCCAAAUCAAUGUGGCAGAGCCUGGCUGGAGGCAGCAAACACCAGCCAUGCCAUGACCUGGGAGCAUCCCUGCCUCUGUGUCACAGACACUUGGUCAUGCAGGGUCUGUGCUGGUGCACCAGUCCCUUGAAUCGACACAGCUCUUCAGGGCAGCCUCACUUGACAGAUGGGGAAACUGUGGUGCAGAAAGCCCAAGUGACUGCCCUGAUCCAGAGAUCUACAAAGUAGCAGAAGCAGGACUUGAACUUGGGCCCACCUGAUACAAACAAAACUCAAAUGUUUUCCUCUGUGACAGCUGAUGGAAUUGACCCAGGGAGGCUCUGGAAGCAUAUACAUAUAUAUGUCAGUUGCAAGGGAAAUAGAUUUAAUACAGGAUGCAUAAUUUAUAGGAUUAUUUUAUGUUAUUUUUUGGUAUUGGGAAUUGAAUUCAGGACUUUGCACUUGCCAGGCAGGCAUGGUGCCACUGAGCUAUGUUCCCAGCCCCAAUAUAGGAUUAUUCUAUAAUAGUCACCCAAAAAGUCAAAUGCAGAGUAGUGCACACUAGAGACCCAAAGAAUCUAGCUGAGGGCCUGGAUCUCACAGCAGUGUCCCACACAAGUCCAGCUGAAGGCCUAGAAUCCACGGCAAUGUCUCAUGCUUGUCUGUAUGGAAGAUCUGCAUCAGGAAGGCCCAAAGGUCAGUGAUGGAAGCUAGAAAGCCAGCGCCAGCAGGGUGAGGGAUUUGUGCACCAGGCUGAGGGAUCUACAGUGGAGCCAGGAAGUGAUGCUCAUGGCAAAGAUCAGAGCUCCCCUGAUGAGAACAGCAGCCUUUCUCAGCAACAGCAAGGACCCGAGAUCCUUCUCUGACAAGAACAGCCAGGUUCACAUCAGGAAAACCAACCGUAGCAAGCUUCUAGAAAAUCAAGAGCCCAUGGUGUUCACCUCCAGUUCUCUUUCUAUGCCAUUGGCAACAGUCCUCAGGUGGGUCUUCCACACCCAGACCAUGCUGAUUCAGUUCAGCUGAGCGUUCCAAGUUGACCAUUAGUUAAUCCACCACACACACA